UAGACUGAAGCCAAUUGGUUAGGGUGUUUAGCUGUUAACUAAAGAUUUAUAGGAUAGAAGCCUGUCAGUCUAG
rnacentral:tRNA from 1 species